rnacentral:SRP_RNA from 1 species
GCUGGGCACGGUGGUGUAUGCCUGUAGCUCCAGUUACUCAGGAGGCUGAGCCUGGAGGAUUGCUUAAGUCCAGGAGUUCUGGACUGUCAUGUGCUAUGUGGACUGGGUGUCUGCACUAAGUUUGGCAUCACUAUGGUGAUCUCUUGAGAGCGGGGGACCACCAGGUUGCCUAAGGAGGGGUGAACUCAGGUCAGAAACAGACUAGGUCAAAACUGCUGCGCUGAUCAGUAGUGGGGUCGUGCCUAGGAACAGCCACUAUAUUCCAGCCUGGGCAACAAAGCCAGAUUCUGUUCCU